rnacentral:rRNA from 1 species
GACGAACGCUGGCGGCGUGCCUAAUACAUGCAAGUUGAGCGAUGAAGAUUGGUGCUUGCACCAAUUUGAAGAGCGGCGAACGGGUGAGUAACGCGUGGGGAAUCUGCCUUUGAGCGGGGGACAACAUUUGGAAACGAAUGCUAAUACCGCAUAACAACUUUAAACAUAAGUUUUAAGUUUGAAAGAUGCAAUUGCAUCACUCAAAGAUGAUCCCGCGUUGUAUUAGCUAGUUGGUGAGGUAAAGGCUCACCAAGGCGAUGAUACAUAGCCGACCUGAGAGGGUGAUCGGCCACAUUGGGACUGAGACACGGCCCAAACUCCUACGGGAGGCAGCAGUAGGGAAUCUUCGGCAAUGGACGAAAGUCUGACCGAGCAACGCCGCGGGAGUGAAGAAGGUUUUCGGAUCGUAAAACUCUGUUGGUAGAGAAGAACGUUGGUGAGAGUGGAAAGCUCAUCAAGUGACGGUAACUACCCAGAAAGGGACGGCUAACUACGUG